AAAAUAAUAAUAAUAAUAUAACGGACUUAUUAUGGAUUUAAUAGAGGAAGAUAUUUUGUUAAAUAACUCUUUUCAUACUGGCAAUAAUUCCUGUAUUGUAAUAAUUCGAAAUUUUUUCUCUAGGAAGAUUGAAUUAUUGGUUAAUAGAAUAAAAUUAUUCUUCAAUAAAGAAAUGAAAGAAAACGAAGAAAAACACGUAAACCAAUCGCCAUAUAUCAACAAUAAUGUAAUUGUAACAUCAAUUCUUGCAUCGAGCAAUUCUCAUAACACAGAAUUUAAUUUCGUUAUUCCCGAAUUAAUAGUAUUAGGAGGAAACGACGAUAGUAGAUCGAGUGUAAAAAUAUGCUCCGAAGAAAUCGAAAAAGAUCUACCAUGUUGCAAUGGAAGAUAUUUACCUGCUAUCAUGUCGGGCCAUGAUUGACAUUAAAAACGAACAGCAGCCGGAUGGACAAGAUAAAGUGACAGCCUCCCGUUCUGGGGAUCCGAGAUUCUGGAGAAUCCUGUCAGAUGAUAUAUCUUUCAUCGGCCAGAGUAAAUCAAAUAGAUCAAAACAAUCAGGUGGAACUGAAUCAUGUGUCAUUCUUGAUAAUUAGCAAUGCUUUAUAAAAAUAUAAAAAUGGUUUUAUAUUGUGAAUUAAAGUUUUUUGUAUUACAUUUACAAUCGUCGAAUUCUUAUUAACUUCAAGGAGACAUACUAUUUCAUCAGGCUGGAGAGCGUUAUAAAAAGUGAAGAUUUCUUCUUCCAGUUGUGAGACUAGUAAUAUUUAUCACAUCUUUCUUAAUUAUUUACAACUAGCAAAGACCGAGAUUAAAACAGUUCUCUUUAUUUCGCCUAUUUAAAAAUGAUUUUCGGAUUGGUAAUUUUCUAAUCCCUUUUCCGGCUGACAGUUUCAGAUCUAAAGUUA
rnacentral:misc_RNA from 1 species